rnacentral:misc_RNA from 1 species
CACAUCAAAGCUAUUGUAUACCGGAUUAUAAUUAACGAAUGCUUUAUGGCGCUUUGGGUCUUUUGAAAGCCAUUAAAUUAAGGCAUUGUGUUGGGAGAAUACUGGGGCUUGGGGCUUUUUACAACCAUUUAAUGAAGACAACGGGUGACCUUAACAUGGUAGUGUUCUUCAUCCGAGCUGUGACAUGCGUGCGUGUCGAUCUCGUCCUGUCACGCAACAGCAGUUGCCAUGGCAACAACAGGUACAUUGUCUACACAUCGGGAUAUUAUUGAGAGUUUUAUCCACUACAUCGGUCAACUGGCGUGUGUGUUUGGGGAUGAUUUGCCCAAGUCGUCAUAUGACCUUGUGUUGUGAAGUAACCGCCAUUUGUGGUGUUAUGUGGUGACAAAGUACUCGGCUUCUCUGCAAGUUCACUUUGCACGAUGCGUGUGACAUUACGACGCUGUGCCACUGCGGGCGUUUCCUGCGUCGCGGCCGUCGUCCUCCUCUCCGUCAUCUACAGCUCCAGACACACCUACUACGGCGACGAAAGGCUUUUACCAUAUGAAGAUUAUUUCCUUCCUUCGUCUACAGAGAAGAUAUUUCUGGAGUAUGAUUUCCUUAUCAACUCCGAUGUCUGCUCAAAGUCCAAAGGGCCAUUCCUGUUGGUGAUGGUGUUAUCGACGCCGGAAAUGACGUCACAACGGGACGCGAUCAGGGAUACUUGGGGAAGCAUUGCACGGGGAGGAGUAUGGCCGGGUUUUAAGGAACGGAUGGAUGUCAGGAUGGUUUUCUUGUUCGGGAACAACACUUUACACUUUAAUGAAGCGUUGAAGAGGGAGGCUCUAAGUAACCGAGAUAUCGUCCAGGCUAGUUUCACGGACUCCUAUACGAACCUGACGUUAAAAGUUCUCAUGGGGUACAGAUGGGUUGAAAAACAUUGCCCUGACGCCAAAUUUGUGAUGAAAAUGGAUGAGGAUGUGUUCGUGAAUAUUCCAUAUAUAUUAUCACAACUGUAUUCUUCCGAUUGGUCCAGACACAUACUCGGACCGUUAUCUUACUCCGAAUUUACGAUAAGAGAUGGGAAAUACGGCGUGAGCGAGUCGAGUUACCACCCGCCCAUCUACCCGCCCCACGUCAAGGGGAACCUGUACGUCAUGCAGACAGACGUGGCGGUCCGGCUCCUCCACACUGCGCCCUACAUGACGUACGUCAAUAUGGAGGACGCUUUCAUUACCGGGAUACUUGCCAAAGUUCACAGACUUCGCCACGUUGAUAUACCGGAAACGUUAUAUGACCGCAAUGUACCUGCGACCUUUUGUGAUAUCGCUAAUAGGGUCAAGGUCGUGUCACAACAGUACACAGCGAAGAUGAUGUAUGGAGUGUGGGAGAAGGUCAAGGACAGUUCACCAUGUUCUCUGUUUGGGAGGAUAAGACACUUUUUUCGCCGAGUUUUUAAGUCAUGAAUGUUUUCUAUAAAAACAAAACAGAAACCAGAUCAUCCAGACGUUUGGAUGUAUGUUCUGCCACGAACCCAUGACGAUAUACAAGCCAAAUAUUGCCAGAUAGCUAGAUUUUUAACUUUAUUUUUAUAUCGCAGGGCUUACAAAUAUGGUCUGCGAAUGAAGCCACAAUGUAUUGAAUCCAUGACGAUACAACUGCCAAAAUAUUGCCAAAAACAUGUAGCUACGUUUUUAACUACAUCUAUGUAUCACAUGGGUUCUUUUCGAUGCGUAUCUAGUCGAUUACGUUCGUGUCCCGGUAUAUAAAAUUUACGAUAAGUUCAGAGCUUUCCGGUCUAAUGUGAUCCGGACUGACGAGGUUUCCGGUCUAACAGGGCUCAGACUGAUGGGGUUUCCGGUCUAAUGUUGUCCGUACUGACGAGGUUUCUGGUCUAACAGGGGUCAGACUGGAAGGGGUUUCCGGUCUUUUUGGGGUCAAGAUUACUGAGGUUUUCGGUUUUCUAGCGCGGUCCGACUAAUGGGGUUUCCGGUCAAUCGGGGUUCUGUCUGACGUGGUUUCUCGUGUAACGGGGCCCGGACUAACAAGGUUGCCGGUCUAAGGGGUCCGAAUUAUAGAGGUUUCAGUUAGGGUUCCCCCUAAUUUCUAACGAAGUCUUGUUUAGCUAUGGGGCUAAAACUUGCAAACCGAUGCAUGCAUGGUGUCACCACAAAAAAGACGAAUGUAUGAUUUCGGUUCAAAUUAAAGAGUAGUUCAACUAAGAAAGUAAAAGAAGAUAAUAUUGAUGCACUUACAGAGAUGUUCUGUUUUUACGGGUUAAUAAAUAUAUAUAGGCAUGGGUAGCGUUUUGUGCGUGAUGAAGGUAAGAGCAACUUGCAAUAUGCGGUCUCUGGUUCGCUUCUCAGUACGAACUAAACUCAUGCUGUAUUAAAAUGAUUGGUUCGCAGUGGUGAGUUGGAUUUAAACCAAUUUGAAAAGUAUUUUGCUUUGGCCAGUGCGUGUCAAUUAAUUUUCUUUUUGUCUCAGUUGUUGCAAUUCGCUGUGUCGAGUUGCAUAUCCAAGACUGGGUUCGAAUCCAUGAUUCCUUGGCUAGUCAACACCAUUUCCACCUUCAUGGUUACACCAAAGUUGUAAACGUCUGUGAGAGGCGACGAUGCUUGUCGUAAAAGGCGACUAUGCUUGUCGUAAGAGGCGACUAUGCUCGUCGUGAAAGGUGACUAUGCUUGCCGUAAAAGGCAAC